rnacentral:lncRNA from 1 species
UCCUGGCACAAGUGAUCCUUCUACCUCAGCCUCCUGAGUAGCUGGGACCACAGAUGCACCACCACACCCAGUUAAGGGUUUUGGUUUUUUGUUUGUUUUGUAGACACAGGAACUCACUAUGUGGCCCAGGCUGGUAUAAACUCCUGAGCUCAAGUGAUCCUCCAGCCUCAGCAUCCCAAAGUGCUUGGAUUACAGGCACGAGCCACUACAUCCAGUCUUAAACUGUUUUUAUUGUGGUAAAAUACAUAUAACAUAAAAUUUGCCAUUUUAACCAUUCUUCAGUGUACAAUCCAGUGGCACUAAUUACAUUCACAAUGUUGUGCAAUGAUCACCACUAUCCAUCUUCAAAAGUUUUCAUCACCCAAAAUGGAAACUCUGUAUCUAUUAAGCAAUAACUCCCCAUUUUUUCCUCUUUCAAGCCUCUGGUAAUCUCUAAUUUACUUUCUGUCUCUAUGAAUUUGCCUAUUGUAGAUAUUUUAUAUAAAUGGAAUCAUAUAAUAUUUGUUCGUUAAUGUCUGGCUUAUUUUGCUUAUGUUUUCAAGGUUCAGCUAUGAUUUGGAGUGUAUCAGGACUUCAUUCCUCUUUAUGACUCAGUAGUAUUCCAUUGUGUGUAUAUAUCACAUUUCCUUUAUUCAUUCGUUGAUGGACACUUGGGUUGUUUCCGCCUUUUGGCUGUUAUAAGUAAUCCUGAUAUAAACAUUGGUGUACAAGUACCUGAGUUUCUGUUUUCAGUUCUAUUGGGUAUAUACCUAGGAGUGGAACUGCUGGUUCGUAUGGUAAUUCCAUGUUUAACUUUUUGAGAAGCUACCAAACUUUUCCAUGGAAGACGCACUAUUUUCAAAUAAGUCAUUUUCACUUACAGUCUAUCUUGUCAUAUUCAUGUAGCUUGCCAUCUUUCCUUGGGUUGGGAUUUGCCUGGUGUACCUUUUUCCAGCCUUUCACAUUCAACUUUUCUGUGUCCCUGUGUUUUAGAUGUCUUCUAUACUUGUUGUGAUUAUUACCAAUGUACUUGGAUUUCCUAAAUUCCAUUUUUUUUCUUCUGUUACUUUGGGAACUAUAUUCUCUAAUCUUAGUUUUCAUAAAAGUUUAAAUAUCCAUAUUUAACUUCACAAAGUCAGAAGUUAUCUUUACCCUCUUGCCACAUCAUAAAAAGAGCCUUAUGUUUUAACCCUGCUCAUCUACUCCUAAGUUACAAUAUUAUUGUCUAGCAUUUUAGUUCAUUAUGGAUUGUUUUAUAGCUCCUAAAAUAUUACUGUUUUAGACCGUUAGUGCUUUAGAUUUACCCUCACUUAAAAGUGUUUUGUUUUGUUUCGCUCACCAUUCUUUUUUAUUUUUUAAAGAGAUGGGAUCUUGCUAUGUUGCUCAGGCUGGAGUGCAGUGGCUAUUCACAGGCAUGAUCAUAGUCCACUACAGCCUUGAACUCCUUGGCUUAAGUGAUCCUGCUGCCUCAGCCUCCUGAGUAACUGGGACUACAGGUAUGUGCCACCACACCCAGCCACCAUUCAUUAUGUUGUAUCUUAAGCCUUUGUGGGAUCAUUUUCCAUCACCUUAGCAUUUAUCUUUGGAAGAUUUUAGUGAGAGUCCCAGUUUUUAUUCAUCAGAUAGCACAUUUUUCCCAUCAGUCUUCAAAUUCAGUUUCAUGAAUUAUUUUUUCAGCACUUUGAAAUAGUUCCAUUGUCCUUGUUUCCACUGGUGCAGUUGGGAAAUAAGCUGUCAGUCUAAUUAUUGACUUUUUGUGGGUAGUCUUAUCUCUCUGGCUUUUUAGAUCUCUUCAUCUUUUGUGUUCAGUUUCAAAACAAUGUGUUUAAGAAUGCAAUUUCCUUUUAUCAGCUUAAGAUGUGUGAAGCACUCUAAAUUCUAGGAUUUGCCUUUAAUCUGGUCUAGAAAAUUCUCUAAAAAGUCAAGAAGCUUUGACUUUUCUCAUUUUCUAUCACUCUCUAUAGUAAAUGCUGCAUUCUGGAUUAUUUCUUCAGACCUAUCUUUUUGUUCACUAAUUCUCUCUUCAGCUGGGCCUAAUCUGUUUAUCCAUUCUAAUUUCAAUUGUUAUAUUUCAUUUUCAGUCCUUCCUGAAAUCUGCCUUGUCCUUCUUUAUUGUCUUAUUCCUUUGUCAUACAUUUGAUUCCUCUUACUGCUUCUGAUACAGUCAGCCCUUUGUACCCAUGGGUUCUACAUCCAUGGACUCAACCAACCAUGGAUCCAAAAUAUUUGUUUAAAAAGAUAUAUAAAAUUACAACAAUAAAAAAUACCAAUUUUAAAAUACAAUACAACUAUUUACACAGCAUUUACAUUAUAUUGGGUGGUCUGUUUUGUUUAGAGACAUGGUCUUGUUCUGUCGUCCAGGCUGGAGUGCAAUGACACAAUCAUAGCUCACUGCAACCUUGAACUCCUAGGCUCAAGUAAUUCUCCUAUCUCAGCCUCCUGAGUAGGUAGGACUACAGGCACAAGCCACCAUGCCUGGCUAAUUUUUUUAUUUUUAUUUUUCUAGAGAUGGUGUCUCAUUACAUUGCCUAGGCUAGUCUCAAGCUCCUGGACUCCAACAAUCCUCCUACCUCAGCCUCCCAAAGCACUGGGGUUGCAGGUGUGAGCCACUAUGCCUGGCUGUAUUAGGUAUUAUAAGUAAUCUACAGAUUGCAGAGAUGGAAGUAAAGCUUUCCUUCUUUCCUCUCUGAAGGUUUGCUGAAAUGAGCUAUGACAGAUUAACAGGAGAAAAGGCACACAAAUUUCAUAUGCACAUGGACAUGGGAAUCCCACAAAUAUGAGACUCAAAGCAAGGACACAUGGCUGAAAUUCAAACACCCUCUUUAUAAGGAAGAGGAAAAUGGGGUGGGGAGCUGUUUUGGAAGGGUAGUAAAUAAUUUCUAGGGAAAAUGAAUCAACCUGGGAGGCAGACAUUAUCUUAUAAUUGAUUAUCUUAGAAAACUGAAUAUGAUCAGCAAAUUACAGGAAGGUGAGGGGUAGAACUACAUUGUGAACAAAGGUUGCCUUAUGCAAAUAGUCUUUCAAGUAAACUCUCAAAGCUGUUCUCAGAAGAACAGAUGAAAAGUCUAUCUGGGCAUGAUGACAACUUUUAAUCUCUUUGUCUUCUCCAGUGGUUUAUCUUUCCUGGUUAUAAGAUUCCUAGAAAAGGGGGUCUUAAGACAAUUGCAUUUUUUUGGAAAGUAGUUUCCUUAGUCAGAUAAAGAGAUUCUAGAGAGUCUCUCUUCUUUUGAAUGGGGGAGAAUUGCAUGAGCUUUUAUGUCUUGGAAUACUUAUGGGAGUGUAAUUCUCCUGCCUUGGCCUCCCAAAGUCCUAGGGGAUUACAAGCAUGGCUUCAAUUAAUAAGUUUUAAAUUGCAUGCCAUCUGAGUAGCAUGAUGAAACCUUGAGCUGUCCCACCCAGGACAUGAAACACCCCUAUGUCUGGUGUCUCUACCCUUAUACACUACCUGUCC